GCGACCCCAAAUCCAGGUACUUGAAACCCGAACUCGGUUCUCCACGAUACCAUUUCUUUAAGCUGAAUAAUACUAAAUAAUAAUAUAAUUCGAACUUAAUUUACAUACAUCAAAGUUUACUUUCCCAGGUACGUGACCUUCAAAUACAUUCCUUACAAUACCUGACAAUAGAUUCCAUUGUCUUACUAACUAUAACCAUUAACUCAUACUCAAUCUCAUUCGAACAGCUUUUCUUUUCCCUUGUUCGUGCCUGAGCCUUCAGGUCGAUCGUACGUAACUGAAAACAUUUAGUUUAAGCAAGGAUGAGCAUUUGAGUGCCCAGCAAGUAAUUGCAAUUAUAUAUAUAAGCUGAAAGAAUAUAAGUAUUCUCUUUACAUAACCCUUCUAGAACGAAUCAAAAGUUGUGAAGUAAUUUGUACUGAUAAAACAUUCACAUAACAACUCUCUUCCAAAUUAUUUAAAUUUGGCUCUGGCUCUACCC
rnacentral:lncRNA from 1 species